CUACGAAGGGGGCUAGCGUUGUUCGGAUUUACUGGGCGUAAAGCGCACGUAGGCGGAUUGAUUAGUUAGGGGUGAAAUCCCGAGGCUCAACCUCGGAACUGCCUUUAAUACUGUCAAUCUCGAGACCGGAAGAGGUGAGUGGAACUCCUAGUGUAGAGGUGGAAUUCGUAGAUAUUAGGAAGAACACCAGUGGCGAAGGCGGCUCACUGGUCCGGUACUGACGCUGAGGUGCGAAAGCGUGGGGAGCGAACAGGAUUAGAAACCCCGGUAGUCC
rnacentral:rRNA from 1 species